CACGUAGGGCGCAAGCGUUGUCCGGAAUUAUUGGGCGUAAAGGGCUCGUAGGCGGUCCGUCGCGUCGGGAGUGAAAACUCGGAGCUUAACUCCGAGCCUGCUUCCGAUACGGGCAGACUAGAGUGCGGUAGGGGAGACUGGAAUUCCUGGUGUAGCGGUGAAAUGCGCAGAUAUCAGGAGGAACACCAGUGGCGAAGGCGACUACCUGGCCUGUUUCUUGACGCUGAGGCGCGAAAGCUAGGGGAGCAAACGGG
rnacentral:rRNA from 1 species